rnacentral:rRNA from 1 species
UGAACGCUGGCGGCAUGCCUUACACAUGCAAGUCGAACGGCAGCACGGGUGCUUGCACCUGGUGGCGAGUGGCGAACGGGUGAGUAAUACAUCGGAACAUGUCCUGUAGUGGGGGAUAGCCCGGCGAAAGCCGGAUUAAUACCGCAUACGAUCUACGGAUGAAAGCGGGGGACCUUCGGGCCUCGCGCUAUAGGGUUGGCCGAUGGCUGAUUAGCUAGUUGGUGGGGUAAAGGCCUACCAAGGCGACGAUCAGUAGCUGGUCUGAGAGGACGACCAGCCACACUGGGACUGAGACACGGCCCAGACUCCUACGGGAGGCAGCAGUGGGGAAUUUUGGACAAUGGGCGAAAGCCUGAUCCAGCAAUGCCGCGUGUGUGAAGAAGGCCUUCGGGUUGUAAAGCACUUUUGUCCGGAAAGAAAUCCUUGGCUCUAAUACAGUCGGGGGAUGACGGUACCGGAAGAAUAAGCACCGGCUAACUACGUGCCAGCAGCCGCGGUAAUACGUAGGGUGCGAGCGUUAAUCGGAAUUACUGGGCGUAAAGCGUGCGCAGGCGGUUUGCUAAGACCGAUGUGAAAUCCCCGGGCUCAACCUGGGAACUGCAUUGGUGACUGGCAGGCUAGAGUAUGGCAGAGGGGGGGUAGAAUUCCACGUGUAGCAGUGAAAUGCGUAGAGAUGUGGAGGAAUACCGAUGGCGAAGGCAGCCCCCUGGGCCAAUACUGACGCUCAUGCACGAAAGCGUGGGGAGCAAACAGGAUUAGAUACCCUGGUAGUCCACGCCCUAAACGAUGUCAACUAGUUGUUGGGGAUUCAUUUCCUUAGUAACGUAGCUAACGCGUGAAGUUGACCGCCUGGGGAGUACGGUCGCAAGAUUAAAACUCAAAGGAAUUGACGGGGACCCGCACAAGCGGUGGAUGAUGUGGAUUAAUUCGAUGCAACGCGAAAAACCUUACCUACCCUUGACAUGGUCGGAAUCCCGCUGAGAGGUGGGAGUGCUCGAAAGAGAACCGGCGCACAGGUGCUGCAUGGCUGUCGUCCGCUCGUGUCGUGAGAUGUUGGGUUAAGUCCCGCAACGAGCGCAACCCUUGUCCUUAGUUGCUACGCAAGAGCACUCUAAGGAGACUGCCGGUGACAAACCGGAGGAAGGUGGGGAUGACGUCAAGUCCUCAUGGCCCUUAUGGGUAGGGCUUCACACGUCAUACAAUGGUCGGAACAGAGGGUUGCCAACCCGCGAGGGGGAGCUAAUCCCAGAAAACCGAUCGUAGUCCGGAUUGCACUCUGCAACUCGAGUGCAUGAAGCUGGAAUCGCUAGUAAUCGCGGAUCAGCAUGCCGCGGUGAAUACGUUCCCGGGUCUUGUACACACCGCCC